UACGUAGGCAGCGAGCGUUGUUCGGAGUUACUGGGCGUAAAGAGUGCGUAGGCGGUUUUCUAAGUUUGGUGUGAAAUCUCCCGGCUUAACUGGGGGGGUGCGCCGAAAACUGGAAGGCUUGAGUAUGGGAGAGGUAAGCGGAAUUCCUGGUGUAGCGGUGAAAUGCGUAGAUAUCAGGAGGAACACCUGCGGUGUAGACGGCUUACUGGACCAUAACUGACGCUGAGGCACGAAAGCGUGGGUAGCAAACAGG
rnacentral:rRNA from 1 species